rnacentral:rRNA from 1 species
AGUGAACGCUGGCGGCGUGCCUAAUACAUGCAAGUCGAACGGAGUGGCGCACGGGUGAGUAAGGGAUAGCUAAGCUGCCCUACACUAGAGGACAACAGUGGGAAACGAUUGCAAAUAAUCGAUAGUGUAGGAUGAGGCUUUAUUGGAACAGCGAGUUGGUGAGGUAUAGGCUCCCCAAGGCUAUGACGCAUAACUGGUCUGAGAGGAUGAUCAGUCACACUUGAACUGAGACACGGUCCAGACUCCUACGAGAGGCAGCAGUAGGGAAUAUUGCUCAAUGGGGGAAUCCCUGAAGCAGCAACGCCGCGUGGAGGAUGACACUUUUCGGAGCGUAACCUCCUUUUGUUAGGGAAGCGGUACCUAACGAAUAAGCACCGGCUAACUCCGUGCCAGCCGCCGCGGUAAUAC